UACGUAGGGUGCAAGCGUUGUCCGGAUUUAUUGGGCGUAAAGAGCUCGUAGGCGGUUUGUCGCGUCGGAUGUGAAAACCCAGGGCUCAACCCUGGGCCUGCAUUCGAUACGGGCAGACUAGAGUAUGGCAGGGAGACUGGAAUUCCUGGUGUAGCGGUGAAAUGCGCAGAUAUCAGGAGGAACACCGGUGGCGAAGGCGGGUCUCUGGGCCAAAACUGACGCUGAGGAGCGAAAGCGUGGGGAGCGAACAGG
rnacentral:rRNA from 1 species